rnacentral:lncRNA from 1 species
UCAAACAAAAUGGCUUUCAUGUUUUGGGCUCUCAUUGUAACUACUCUCACCCUUCAACUAGCCAUUACGAGUGCACAAACACCAGCUGCCUCACCUUCCAGUACGCCAACCACCACCACCACUCCUCCACCUUCAACUUCGCCACCACCUACAACUUCCGCACCACCUCCUUCAACAACCCCUCCACCUACAACUUCAGCACCACCUCCUUCAACAGCAACGCCUCCACCUUCCACCACGCCCAUCGCGCCAGCUCAACCACCUGCAACAACUCCCCCUCCCACUGUUGCACCAGCUACAAGCCCAACUGUCCCACCGCCACAAACUCCACCACCUCAACCACCUCAAACUCCUCCAACCACAGCUCCAGCUCAACCGCCAGCAGUGCCACCACCAUCACCACCACCAGUAUCUCCUGCACCAGCACCAGCUCAGAAACCACCAGCUCCUGCACCAGUAAAGCUGCCCCCAGCACCUGCACCCAUUACUUUGCCACCGGCUCCUGCACCAGCUCCCACCAAGCACAAGAGAAGGCACAGGCACAGGCGCAGGAGACACCACCAUGCACCAGCACCAGCACCAACAGUUCCAAGCCCCCCAGCACCACCUGCAGUGCCAACUACAGAUGACACGACACCAGCACCAUCACCUAGUCUCAAUUUGGUAAUGCCUUCUAAGUUCUACUAAGAAAAAAGAACAAAAUCAAUGUAUGAAUUGAGGAUGUUUACAACAUAUGAAUCUAAUUUUAUUAUUUGUUUCUAUGAAAUACAGAAUGGAGGAGAUUCAUUGUUGGUGGCAGGAACAAAGCUUUGGUGGGCAAGGACAGGAUUGACUAUUGCCAUUUUGAUCGCUAUUACAGGCUAUAGUUUCUAGGAACUCAUAAGCUAAGGGGUGAUUGUGAUUUACUUUACAAUUCCUUGUCAUACCUUUUUUCUUUUUGGUUUGAAUUUCUCUGUCACAUAACAGAGAAUAUUGUUUCAUUUGUGUAACAAAAUAAAUUGAAAUUUUAUUAGAAAUAGAUACGAAUAAGACCAGCCAAAAGCUGAAGAAGCAAAAUAUAUAUAUAUAUACCUGGGUAGCUUAGCUUAUGUUUAUUUUUCUCGCCUUGCCAAGAAUAACAACCAAAUGGUUCCACCAGGAAAAAAACUUUACUCAACAAUCGAAUUCCCAGACCAACCUUUGUCAAUACCCAAUUGAAUUUGGACCCCAUAGUAAAACUCAUUGUGGAUCAUGAAUUUUGCAUCGAUUGAUUUUAAGUGGAGUGUGAUUUUCCUUUUUCAAAAGUAAAUGUGAAAUGAAGUAGAGAUGGAGAGAAGAGAAUAAUUACUUACCUCAUUUUAUUUUACUAUUUAUUUCUCAAAACUAAAAUAUAUUUGAAGAAUCUUUUUAAAUAUUUGUUUGUUUUUAAUAAAUAUUAAACAUAAUUCCAAAAAUCAAUUUGAAGCCGCAUUGGAACUAAUAAUGGUUCUUAAAAUUAUACAUGCAUAACUGCAAGAGCCAAUUUAAGGGCUCAAUCUAAAAUGAAUAAAAUUACCAUUUAACUCUCCAUCAUUAAAUUAAAAAUUAAUUUAUUAUAAAAUUGGACUAAAUUGUCAAAUGAAGCCUUUUUAAAAAAAAAAGAAAUUUACGGAACUAGCCUGAUAUUUUGAAAAAUUACGAGAAUGGACUGUUUUUGAUAAAACGCUUCUAGUUGAAGUUGUUUUCAAGAAAACUCAAGCGUUUUCCCCUCUAACCAGUAAAGCGCUUCUAGCUCAGCACGCUAAUGAAAAACGCAUCCAGCUCAACGUGUCCUCCCCCCACGGUCACUUCCAACAGCUAUUUUAAAUAGGCGUUCCCCCCCCAAACGGUAAAAAAAAUAUAUAAACCCCUCACCUAUUAAUUUCUCACAUUUCUCUCUUAAAUCUCUCAAAAUUUCUCAAUCCACUCUAAAAAAAUCUCUCAAAUUCUCUCUUAAAUUUUUUACUAAAAUUCUAUUUCUAUGUAAAUUCUAUUUUUUAUUAUAUUUUUUAAAAAUAUUUUCAAGAAAUAUUUUUUAUUAAAAAUUAUUUCGUGUUUUAUAUGAUUUAGCAAUGGUCGAGUCUCUAAUUCAUCUUGAUAACAAGCACAUUUCUGUCAAUCAAUUGCAAAUGGUAAUAAUAAAUUUUAAUCUUGUUUAAUUUUUUUUCAUUGUUAUAUUUUAACUUAAUAUUUUUAUAAUUUUUACGUAAAUAGGUAGAAGAUCGAAUUUUAUAAUACCAUAUUCGUAAUCUACCCGGUCCUCCAUCACUGUUGAUCGAAUCAUACUUGAGGGAAGCCAGUUUUUGGCACGUGACCCUUGUAGGCCGGGGGUGUAAGUUGGACCCGAAACUCACAAGCGCGUUGGUGGAGAGGUGGAGACCCGAGAUGCACACAUUUCAUCUUUCAUGCGGCGAGUGUACUAUUACUUUGGAAGACCAGGUCUGUUCAGUCUGCUGAUUGGGGAGCCGUAUGUGGUGAUUUUUUGGGUGCGGCUCCGGAGAUGAUUUACGGAGGUCGGAUCAAAAUGGCUUGGAUAAGAAAAAAUUUCGUGGAGCUGGUUGAGGAUUCAACUGAAACUCAAAGAGAACGAUACACUCAGGCGUAUAUCCUUCAGAUUAUCAGGGGCAUCCUGAUGCUAGAUAAGUCACAAAAUCUCGUCCAUCUAAGGUGGCCGCUGAAACUCGUCGAUUUUAGAGGGGCGGGAGAACUCAGUUAAGGGUUUUUUGUGCUGGCGAUAUUGUAUCGAAAGAUGUGUCGACAGACGCAACCAGGAAAAAUCAAAAUUGGUGGUUACCUUUUACUACUACAAUCAUAAGCUCGGUUCCAGCUUCCAUUUUUAUGUCCUCGAGCAAACUACCUGUAUACAUUCUCACUCGUAACAAUGUAAAAUUCAAUAGAUAUUACCAUGAUUAAUUUGAUUUAAAUUAAAAUUAUUAUGCUAAUAAGUUAUUUAAAUAGGUGGAACCAUGCGUCGAGUCACGUGGGACUACCUAUUGAGCUUCAAGAUAUACGGCUUCUAUUAAACCAAUGACCAGAAGCGGAGGUAUACAUUUAUUUAAUUUUGAACUAUAUACAAAUAAUGUAUUUGAUUUCAUAUUUAAUAGUAUAUAUAUAACUAAUGUUUUUUAUCACGUUAAUAUAGUUUGAAUGGACACCAUACGAGGAUCCGACAAUUCAAGAAGUAAUCCUUGAGAAUCCCAACGCCUGGCACAUGAAGGUCCCAUUGGUAGUGUAUGCUACUAUGGAGAUGCACGAGACUGAUAGAGUGUUGUGGUAGUUCGGAUUUCGACAGUCAAUUCCUAUGACACCUUAAAACCUUGAUGAUCUGCAUCUUAUCGACUUGCAGCGGCUGGAUGAGAAUUAGCUAGUAUUCCACUCCCAACAUAUCAACAUGUGGAACAAUCGGUAUAAUUUUUUACCUACUCACAAACCUAUUACUGUUCUAGAGUUAGCAUGCGGUCUGGAGUACAUGUCAUGGUUUAGGAUCCAUGGCAAACCAUAUUUGUAUGGGGAAGAAGCGACUUGUCAGCAUCCUUGUAUGAGUAGGUCAUAACAGCCCCUUUUAAAUCCAAGGGCUGGCGAGGCAGGUCCAUCAUCAGCACCCACGCAAGAACCGGCAUCGAUGGCCUCAACAUCGAUGCCUACACCACCCUCCAUUUAGUAUUUACCGUCUUAUUCUGGUGCAUAUUCUAACCCUAUCAUCUUCACACAAGCACCAUAUGUUGCACCACAUUUUUCUGCUUCUGGUCUUAUGCCAAGUUGGAUUGUUGGACAUCCAUCCCCAAUAUUUUACACGCUUUCGGUUGGUGCAUAUUCUAACCUUAUCAUCUUCACACAAGCACCAUAUGUUGGACAUUUUUCUGCUUCAGUAUUUACCAUAUGUUUUACACGCUUCCAACUAAAUGCUCUUUUCAGUACUUUUGCUAACAGUAUGUUCUGCUUAGAGUUUUUUUCUCUAUAAAUUUCAACCCCCACUAUCCAGGACAUUUUUUCAGAACCCAUCUCGUCAAAAAUACUUUUUUAGUACUCCGAGUUUUAAUUUUUAAUAAAAAAUAAUAUACGAUUGGUAUAAAUAUGAAUAUUUUAAAUAUCGAAGUCAAUUAUUACAAUUAUUAGGUUAACAUUUUAUCAAAUUAAAACCCUAAAAUCUAACCCUAAACCCCUAAAAAUCUAAACAACCUAAAACCAUAAUAACAAAACCCUAAAACCUUAAUUAAUAAACCCUAAAACCUUAAAUUUUAUAGAAAACCCUAAUAAAACACGGGGAAAAUGAGUUUUCCUUGAAAAAGACUCCAAUUAGAAGUUUUUUUUAUCAAAAACGGUCCGUUCCCGUAUUUUUUCAAAAAAUCGGCUUAUUUCUAUAUAUAUAUUUUUAAAAAAGGACUUUAUUUGGUAAUUUAGUCGUAAAUUUGUAUUUUGACUUCCAAAAGAAGAAAAUUAUGUUUAAUCCCUCCAAAAAUGAUGAAAUCAUAAAUUAAUAUAUUAUAAAAUUAUGUUUUGAUUUCUCAAAAAAUUAUUAUUCAAUUCUGCCACCUAAAAACAAUUUGGAUAGGCCCUACAUGAUAGUCUGAGACAGGUGAUUAUCAUAAGACGAAGCAUGCCAAUUUUAAAGUGGAGGUAGAUGUGGUUAGACCUAUUCAUGAGUCAGGCUACCUACCUAGACCCAAAAGCCUACUUAAAAUUUGUAGGGUUUGGGCAAAACAUUCAAGACUCAAGCCGAUCCAACUGUUUUUAAAUUUAUAAUUUUUAUAUUAUGUUAUUUUUAUAUAUUAUGUAAUUUAUAAUAUAUUUAAAAAAUAAACCUAUACUAAAUAUAUAAUACUAGUCUAAUGUAAACAUUAAAAUAAUGUUAAGAUGACUAUGUAAAAAAUUUCAAUAAAUAAAAAAAUAUAAAGUUAUUAAUUAUUAAAUUAAAAUGAUAUAAAUAUACAUAUUUUAAAAAUUUUAAAAUAAUAUGAACGGACCUAAAAUGAACUUGAUUAGUCUUUUGAAAAUAUAGACUAACUUUGACAAAAAUCUUUGCAAAUAUACAUUUUUGACUUAGCAACAUUCACUUCCCCUUCUCUAUUAUCAUCUUUAAUCACAAUAUUCAUAGAUAACAACUUAGUUAAGCAAAAUAUUUAGAAUUAUAAGGAUAUUAAAUUAGUUUAGGUUAAAAUAUAUCCUUAGUGAUUAUUUUUUUUAUAAAAAUUUAAGAUUUUAAUAUUUUUCCUUAAAAAGUUAAUAAUUAAUUUCUACUAUUUUUUUUUGUUUGUUUACAAAAUUUUAUUAUAAUCAUCUACAUUAUUAGUAUUUUUUGUCAAAAUUUUCUUAGUAUAAGGCAUGUGUAUUGGAUCCUUAAUGAUUUGCUUCUAAAGUUGGUAUGAUUACGUAGAUGUAUUGAUGAUAAUUUUUAAUGUGCUAGUAAUAUUUUCAACAAUAGACAAUGUUGUAAAAAUCAAAUCAAAUAAGUGGUUCAAUUAGUCAAACAAUUAAUUUUCAGUUUAAUCGAUUAAGCCAUCAAUUCAAUAAUAACUAAAUAAAAAUAAAAAUUUCAUAAAAAUAUAAAAAAAUCAUAACUGACCACUAUUUUUUUGUUUCAAAUUUUUACUGAUUUAUAACUAUUUACUCUAAUUUUUAAUUAUAUAUCACCAAUUGGACAACUUAAACCACCGAUUUUCAAUUUAACCAAUUUAUCGAGUCUAGUUGCGAGUUGUGACAACAUUAAUGAUCUUUAAAUUGAAACAAACGAUGAUUCUAUUUUCAACCCUUUUUAAGUAUAAGGAUUAAAUAUCAAGCCUCACUGAAGCACAGGGACUGAAAGCGAAAUUUGACCAUUGGUUAAUACCAUAGAUUAGGAUUACUCGUCCAAGUUUCUAACUUUCUACGAAAUCAUCAAAUUCCAAGAAAACAGACUUGUCUAGUUUUUACUACCAAACAGAAACCUCCAUGUGGCAACCCAGAAAUUGGGCUAUUCAGCCAAUCGCCACCAGCCAUUACUGACCCUCCAAUUCCCUUCAACCAUCUUCUUUUUCUCAUUUCUCCAUCGCAUCCAUGCUUUUCUUCGGCUCCACCCUAAACGCAGGCUGAGAUUUCCUCGAAUUUAACACAGUAAUUUUCGAAGCCCAUUUUUUCCCACAAACAAACCAUCAUGAACAACUAAACUAGUAUUUGCUAACAAAAUCCAAUUCAAGGAUUCAUCCUCAAGCUUUGAAAACAACCAACAAAAAAGGUAUGCCAUCUCCAAUCUUGCCCAUAUCCAGCCACCCUUCCUCCUCCGCAUCGGCAGCCACAACGGUGGUCAAAGCUAAGAUCGAUGCUGACCCAUCGGCCACCAUCCUCAUUUCGUCAAAAUUCGAUCCUGAAAAGGCUAUUCCUAUUACGCCUGUCCUACCCAGAGCUUCGAGUUACAAUUCCACAAGCAAUGUUAACAACAAUAUUGUUUCUUUUGCCAACAACCAUCAGCAGAGAUUUCUCCGGACUUCCAGUGAUAGCUCGCUCGCUUUGCUAGCCGAUGAGACUCCCCGCCAGUCUAUAAGCCGGGAAGUGGGCCAUGUUGCUGCCGAGACGUUUUACCUUUCUGGAUUAUGUUUGAAGCUCCUUAGUUAUCUCGGGUGCGAUUCUUUUCCUGUGUAUUGUUAUGAUUAUAUAUGCUUGGUCUUGGAAUCUUUCUCAUAGAUUGAGAGGCAUGCAUGAAUUUGAUACCUGGGCUUGAACUGUGUUCAUUUGAUACCUGGAGCUGUAAGGGGUGUUAACUUUUAUGUUAGUGAUUGAUGAACAUUUAUGUAAAAGUCCCUGCACUUUGACUCUGCAUUUCUUUAGGUACUUGUAUCUUUUCAAACACAUGAGUAUGGGGAUAGGGAUAUGAUACUCCAAAUAUAUGGACAAGCUUAGGAAAACACUCAUUGUCAGUUCCAAGUAACUUAGUGUAUUACAUUGGAAAAUCGAAUGAUGAUUAUUGAUGAAGCUUUAUUCCUGCUGUUAAUUAACACCCAUUCAAAGUUUUCAAUGAAGAAAUGUUGCACUUUAACUUUAGGGAAACCGAAAAGAAUCUUUGUCUUAUAGCUAGGACAAAAGUGAAUAGAGAUGGUUAAGCUGAAAUUGAGGGUAUUCUUUUUGGCAGUAUCAGGAAAUGAAUUAGUUAGCUGACUAGUGAAGAUGUAGGAACAGAGUUUCAUGCGUUGUAGUUCAAGAAAAAUCUUGAUGAAUGUGAGUAGAAUAUACAUGAGUUCUUUAAGGAGAUAUUAUUAUUUAACAAACUCAACCUUUGGAGUUAGUUGAAAGAGAUAUAUAAGUACGUUCAUACAUGAGGCUUCAAACUUCAAGAUCAGUGUGCCUUCAUCAUUUUUAUGUCGCUCAAGGACUUGGAGUUUAUUAUUAUUAUUUUAUUGUCAGCUGAGCUGCUAAUAUGACUUUUAUGUUCAACUUUUCUAUGAGAUGUGUCCUAAUCGUUGACUAUUUUUCAGGGUAGGCUAUAGAUGGAUCACAAGGUUCCUUGCCCUUGGUUGUUAUGCUAUGUUGCUCAUGCCAGGUUUUAUUCAAGGUUAUACAUAUAUUCAUAUUUAUUUAUUGCUGUUUUUUUUAAUUGUUGCUUUUACUACUUGCUGUUUGCUUUAGUAGAAAAAAGGAAAAAGAUGCAUUUGGCUACGAAAACAAACUACCUUCUUGAUUAAUGUAAACUAAAAUGUAACUUCUUUGAAAAAAAAGUGCACAUGUUAAGAUUUAUAUGGAACAAUCAUGUUAGAUUUUAGUCAUUUUUAAUCAAUUAUGAUUUUUCUUUAUAGCAAUCUUCUUGGAAGCAAAGGCAAAGAGUAAAAGUCAGAACCAAACAAAACCAUAAUUUGAGACACUGCGUUUCUUUGUUCAGUUUACAUUUGACUUGAUGGAUCUAAAAUAGCAUAAUGAGUUACUUUUCCUUUUUGCAGUUGCUUUUUACUACUUCUUCUCCAGACAGGUCCGUAGGAGCAUAAUAUAUGGUGAAAAGCCUAGAAAUAGGUAAAGUUGAUUGUCUAUUUCUUUUGCAUUUCCAAGCGGUUAGUAUGUAUGCCCUUGCAAUUGUAUUGUAAUUUCAGGCAUCGAUAACUCAAAUUUUGUUUGCAGGCUUGAUCUUUAUUUGCCUAAAACCAGCCAGGGGACAAAACCCGUGGUAGCUUUUAUAACCGGUGGGGCUUGGAUUAUUGGGUGAGCUAUUUGUCAUAUAUCUGGACCGUAGUAGAAAUUCUCAAUUGUAGUGGCAGACUGCUCUCCUUUGAGUUUUAUUGGAAAUUAAAAGCUUCAAAUUUGUUGUGUGAUCAUACUGAAAGAUACUGAAGAUUCUUAGAAUGAAAAGUAACUCAUAUAAUCAGUAGGGAAAGUAUAACCUCUAAUAUAGUAAUUCCUUUUUUCUUUUACCGUUGCCAAAUCAAGUUCUGAUGAUUCUCAAAGGCCUAUGGCUACUCUUUCUGUCAUUAUACCUGUUUGGCUUCUUAUUUGGUUUAUGCUUGCUGAUUUAUCGUUGAUUUGCUUCAUAGAGCUCUUUUCUCUUAAUGCAGUUAUAAAGCAUGGGGUUCUCUUUUAGGUCAACAGUUAUCAGAAAGAGACAUCAUAGUGGCAUGCAUAGACUACAGGUAAAAUAUGUCACUUUAAGGCAAUGACAUUUUGUUGUAGAGAUGACACUAUUUUACUGGAUCGAUAACCAUUGUUCUUGAUUAAGUUUCUCUGAUUGACCUCCUUACCAUAUAAUUUUUACAGUAUAACUGUUGUUAUAAGCUGGCCCUUUGAGCAUCUUAAGAAUUGCGUAUAGAAGCCUUCAUGAUCUGAUGACUGCAAAAUUUAACCUUUUCUUAACUUUUAUCAUCAGCUGGGCUCAUGUUUAGAUCACGUUAUUUACAUUUUUUUUUCUUGGCUUGUUUAGUUUUGAAGCUCAUAUUGGGGAAAUUAUUUGCCUAUUUAAGGCAUGAAUGAUCUUUUAAUACAAUUUCGUUAUCUUACCUUCACUUGGUCUGACCUAAAACUUCUUCAAAAUGUUUUACCUGUUUGUUUUUGUCUCAUUGGAGAUAUCUAUGUGGUGACUUUCACUAAUGGUUUUGUCAUUUGAAAUGUCUUUGAUGCACUUUUACAUAUCUAAAUGGCUGCAUUUUUUUCAAGAUAUUUUGUUUUCCAUCUAAAAUGACUAUAAUCUCCAUUUUUUCUACAAAGCUGGCAAGCUAUAUUUUGAUAAAUGGUUCUGAAUGCAAAAUUUAGCACUUCUCAAUGAAUAUUUCUUGGGGUAAUAUGUAAAUUCAUAUUGUUUGAUUAGUUGCAACAUAACCACUUCAUGUGGUUUAAGUCUUGAUAUUAUUAGUCAGUCCAUUAAUAUUAAGAGAUCCUGUUGGUUACCGUCUUAAAUUUAUGCUUGAAGUGUUCUUUUUCUAAUAGUUCAAUCUGCUUGCAGAAAUUUUCCACAGGGUACAAUAAGUGACAUGGUGGAGGAUGCUUCUCAGGGCAUCUCAUUUAUUUGCAAUAAUAUUUCUGAAUAUGGAGGUGAUCCCAACAGGUAUAGGAUUAGUAAUAUUCCCUUUUUUUUAAUUUGUAUCAUACUGAUUAAUAUUCUAUUCAUGGUUUGUCUUGCCAGGAUUUAUCUUAUGGGGCAAUCAGCUGGUGCACAUAUUGCUGCUUGCACACUUGUAAACCAGGCAAUCAAAGAGACUGGCGAAGGCGACAGUGUUUCUUGGAGUGUGUCCCAGAUAAAAGCUUACCUCGGUUUGUCUGGAGGGUAAUUAUUAAAAAUUUUAUAACCAUGGAACUUAACCAGCAUGGACUCUUAUUUUCUUCGUUACCAUGAAUCUGGUCUUGAAACUUUUAACUUCAUAUUGAAUAUAACUUUCACAAUAAUAAUGGAAUCAGUUCUGAUUUCAAAUUUGACUCAAAGAUAAACCGUAUUGAUGUAUUUUCCUCAAUUCAUGUGGCACUAUUUUCUUCUGAAAGGUUAUAAUCAAAGCAUUAUAGUGUCUUAUAUUAGGGUGGAUGAUCUUUAAUAGCUCUCAUUAUGGCUCAUGUCUAUCUUUUGGUUCCUUGCUAAAUGCAUUAAGUUUUUUACCUUCUCAUUGCCCCUUCAUUUAGUGCAUUAGCUAUUUGGAAUGAACAUUUGUUAUGUUAUUAUAUACAAAACAUGCAAGUAAAUUUUGAUGUAAUAAAGCAAUUUCCUUUUUGUGUAUAUUCAUUGAUACUCAAUUACCAUUAAUGUUCCCCAACAGGUACAAUCUUUUUAACCUCAUAGAGCACUUUCAUACUCGAGGUUUAUACCGUUCGAUCUUUUUAAGGUAAGUUGGUUCUAGGAAAAGCUUGUUUAGAUACAUUCUGUGUUUGUUUCCCUCAAUUGAAGAAUCGUCCCUGCAUUUUCAUACAGCAUAAUGGAAGGGGAAGAUUCUUUGCAUCAGUUCUCUCCUGAAGUUCUGGUGCAGGACUCAGACGUUAAGCCUGCUGUUUCUCUCCUUCCUCCUGUCAUUCUUUUUCAUGGUACUGCAGAUUAUUCUAUUCCUGCGGAUUCCAGGUUUAAAUCUCGUCCUCUCAAUCCAUAAUUCUAAAUGUUUGUUCCUUUGUCGUUAAUAAUUAUAUGUGCAUACAUGGAUAAGGCCCUUGAUAAUCAUCAUAGAUUACAGCAAUACUACUUUUCAUUUUCUUCUUCUGCAUCUAGAUUGUUAUGAUGUUGCUAUGUAGUGAUUGUUGAAUGACUAGGUCACAGCUGAUUCAAAAGCAGAUUUCUUAUAACAAGUUUUCCUUCUCCUUGCAGUCAAAAUUUUGCUGAUACGCUUCGAAGAGUUGGAGGGAAAGCAGAAUCCAUAUUGUAUUAUGGAAAGACUCACACAGAUUUGUUUCUUCAGGUAAUGGAAGAAGUAACCAUGCUUUGUGUUUUGUUUGAUUUUAGGUGAAUUUUGUAUAAUAUUCUGCCAACAUACAUGUAAAAUAAAUAAUCAGGAUCCCAUGAGAGGCGGCAGAGAUGAGAUGUUUGAAGAUGUUGUUGCCAUCAUACAUGGUGAAGAUGAAGCAGCCCUUGCAAAAGAUGCCGUGGCGCCUCCAAGAAGACGCCUUGUACCUGAGUUCAUGUUGAAAUUGGCUCAUGAUGUCAGCCCUUUCUAGCCAUUCAUCAUCUGUUACUCUCAGAUGCUAUGAAAAUGAAUUGUAUCCAUGACUAUAACAUUAAUAUAACAACAGCGGAAGUAAGUUUGUAGAUGAUCUUUACCAGGCCUUUUAUCCCCCCUUCAAAUUCUAUCGCCCUUACUGCAUUCUUUUCAUUUAAUCCUAUUUGAUAUCUGUCGAAACCAUUUUUGAAAACAAAAAUUAGUUGUCGACUUAUUUUAAAAAAUGUAAAAGUUGGAGUCGCCACCAAUCUUUUAUUGAGGUGUGAUUGAAUCACCUAAAAACAAUUUUGGUCUACGAAUUUUAGAAAAACAGAUUUGGGAGUCAGUUACGUACGAGGAAGGAUUAGCACCCUCGUAACGCCCAAAAUUGGUACCGAAUUAAUUAUUUAAUGUCUUAAGGUCGAAUGAAUCAGAUUUAAAAAACGAUUCUCCUUUUAAAAUCUUUAUUGAAAUUUACUAAUUUGAAAACUAAAAAUAAUUUGGUCAUCUUGUUUCUAUGAAGAAAUCGAAACCUUGUAAGUUAAGGUACGAUUCUUUGAAAUUUUGAUAACCACACACCAAUUUGCUUUUGUUUGAAAAAAAAUCUCGUCUCGAGAUAACAAAAUGUCGCAUCCUGUGAGUUAGGACACAACCCUUUGAAUUCCCGAGAGUGAAUUUAAAUCUUGAAAUGUUUACAAUUUUAUUGAAAAAGGAUAUUCAGCUAUUUAAAUUCAAUGAAAAGAAUUGAAGCCUAGUAAGUUAGGGCACAAUCUUCUCGAGAAUCUUAAACGCAGAAUAUUUUAAAAAUUUAUGGAUAAAAUGACUUCGGUAGUUUAAACAAAUCAAUAAUAUAUUUAAAGAAUGAAAGUACUUUAAUAAAAAAUGUACAUGUAUAUAUAAAACAAUAUUAUAAAAAACUUUCAUAUAAACCUUUAAAACAUAAAAAACAUAUAUAAAAUGAAUUUUUAAAAAACAUAUACUACAAAAUAAAAAAAAACAUAAAAAAUAUGCAUUAUAUUGGAUUUUAAAUAAAAUAAUACAUUAUAAGAUAAAAUAAUAACAUAUGACAAUAAUAUAAAUAGAAUAAAAUUAUGUAUGUAAAAAGGUUAGAUCAAUAUAAAUAUAAUAAUAGUAGUAGUAAUAAUAAUAAUAAUAUUAACAAUAAUAAUAGUAAUAAUGAAGCUCAAGAAUAAAAAUAAAACAAAGUAAAAAAGCAUAAAAAAAACGAUGAAAAAAACUAAAGGAGUAAAUAAAAAAUAAAUAAAUAAAACACAAAACAAAAUUAAAAAACAAGACGGAGAAAGAAAAACAAAAAGCUAAAUUGCCCUCGAAAUAUAAAAAAAAUUAAAAUAAAAUAGGGCUGAAAUUAUCUAUAAAAAAAGGCAAAAGGACUAAAUUGAAGUUUAAUAAAAAAAAGGGGUAAAAAUCGAGAAUAAAAAAAAUAAAGGAGAGGGCCCAAUUGAAAGGCACAGAUAAUUUAAAGGGACCCAUCAGGGAAAUAACCCCCCCAUCCUCUGAAACACGCCACUUGUUAGGGCCAAAUUGAAAAUGGAAUAAAAUCAUAGGUAUAAAUAUAAAAAAAAUAAAAAGGAUUGGAUUGAAACAAUUGCAAAAUGCGGAGGGGUCUAAUGCGCCAAUAGACCAUCAAAGCCAAAAACACGCGGAUCCUCCUCCUAGGUCGGGUCAUUGCGCGGGUCAAGGGUAUGAAACGACGCCGUUUUGGGCAUCAGAAGCCAAACCCAAAACGACGUUGUUUUGGGUAUUUAUAUAAGUAAAAAAACUUAAAAAAACAUUUGCAACCCCAUUUUAAAAAAAAAAAUUCUUUUUUUUCUCUCAACUCUCUCUCAACCCUUCAAACUUUUUUCCAGAAUCCGGCCAUGUCUCCGGCGCCGGACCACCGCGGCGGCCGUCGAUCGUCGGCGACGGCGCCACCGUUUGCGGUUGCCGAAAAAUUUAAAAAAAAAAUAUUUUUUUGUUUUUUAGCUCCUGGCCUUAAAAAACACCGAUUUUCAUCGGAAUCGGCACCUCCCUCUCAAAAAGGUAUGAUUUUUCCCUUUUGUUUUUAUUUUCCUUCGAAAUAAAUAAAUAAAUAAAAAUAAACCGAAAAAAAACUACCUUUGAAAAAGGUUUGUACUUGAAUCGAUUUUGCUCUAUUCUCUUUUCAUUCAUUCGUGUUUUCCCCCUCAAUAUACAUAGAUUCGGGGUUUUUAUAGCCCAAAAUUUCCUAUUUUCUCUAUUUUUUACAUUGUUUGAGUUGUUGUUGGAUUCUCCUGAUCCUUUUGCAGGUACACACGUGGCGGCUCGUGCGGAGAGGCGGCGCGAACGGAGGCCGGUUCUGAGUUGUGUGGCAGUUGGAGUUGGGGGCGGCGGCUGCUGAUUUCUUUAGGGUUUCUUGCUUUUCUUUGUUUGUUUCUUUUGGGCUAGGGUUUAGUUAGGUUAGUUGGGUUGUUUGGGUAUUGGGCCUGCUGAUGUAAUUUGGGUUUAUUAAUUGGGUUUGUAAAAAAACAGGGCAUUUAUUUUAUUUUGGUCUUUGUAUUUUAAUUGGGUUUAGGCAAAAUAGGCGUAUUACCAUAUCUUUUAACAUGGGUUUGAGAACAAGACAUGAAAAUUAAAUUUAAGUUUUUAAUUUAAGUUGAGUAAAUGGAUUGGAUUGUUUCUUACUUACAUAGAGAUGUGUUUGUUUAUAAUAUAAAUUAGGGUUAAUUGCACCAAUGUCCCCAAACCGUGGUCUAGAUUCUAAAAUGCUCAUCAAACUUAAAAACAUUUUAAUUAAAUCCUCAAAAUACAAUAUGAUGUAAAACAUGUUUAAAAAAGAGUCAACUUUUAAAUAUAUAUAUAUAAGUCAAGCUAAUAUUUAAUACUUAAAUAGAUAGUUAAUUGAUACAAUAUUAAUAUUUGAAGAUCCAAUUAAAAUAUUUUGAGGUUUUCAAAUCAAUUUAACAUCUGAAUCAUAAGUUUUAGGCAUAGUGAAUUUAAUACCCUUUUAAAAUUUUAUAUCUUUACAUAUUUCAAUCUCUCUUUUAAAAAAAGGUUAAAUAUUAUUGUUUUCAUAUCUAGAUCGAUUGAGAUAUUAAUCUGAAUCAAUUAACUUGUAAAUUUUUAAUAAUUUAUUUAGAUAAACCGGUGCAACUUCCUUCCACAAUAGCAUCCUAACUACGAAGAACGUUAUCAGUGACGACAGAGAUAGACAAAGACAAAAAACAGAAGUCAAACUAGCGAGUUAAAACCAGCCCACCAACAAAGAAAGAUGACUGGGCCGCCCACUUUCCCUUACAUUUUGAUAAUAUAAUAUAUUAUACGCCACGUUUGGCUGCCUAAUUGCGUUGUCCCCCCACUCUCCCUUCUCUUUAUUACUAGUCCAGAGAACCCACCAACUGAACUGUCAUUCGAGAUGGAGGAAACACAGCCCGUGCCACGAGUAGGUGUAGUGCUGUUCGUGUUGAAGGGGAAAUCGGUCCUCCUGGGUCGCCGCCGCGCCUCUAUCGGUGAAUCCACCUUUGCUCUCCCCGGCGGCCACCUCGAGUUUGGUCCGUCUCUCUCUCUCUCUCACCUCACAUCUCUACUUGUUUCGCUUUCAUUAAUUAAAAAAAAAAGGGCAAAAUAAUUGUUGGCAGGUGAGAGCUUCGAAGAGUGCGGAGCCAGAGAGUUGAUGGAGGAGACGGGCUUGGAAAUGGGGAAAGCAGACUUCUUAACAGUGACCAAUAAAGUCUUCCUGGACAAAUCCAAACGCUGCCAUUACGUCAUCGUCUUUCUCCGUGCAGUGCUGGCGGACCCUAAUCAAGUUCCACAAAACCCGGAGCCAGACAAGUGCGACGGCUGGGAUUGGUAUGACUGGGAUAAUCUGCCCCAACCUUUGUUUUCGACGCUUGACGAAAUGGUACGAAGUGGCUUCAACCCCUUUCCCUCCACUUGACAGCUGCUGAAUGAAUACGUUUUCUUUUCUUAUAUAUUGCUUGCGUAUAAUUGAUCCAUGGGUUACUUUAAUUUCAUCAUGAUGUAUUCAGUGACCAAUGUUGUUUGUAAUAUGAACCUUAGAUGGUGAACUUUUAUGGUUUAUAUUAUGUAGCUAAGUGAUUUCAAGAGUCAAAUUUGCAUGGAUUUUUGGUUCUUGUUAUCUGGAUUUUAAGAUAUAUGCAAGGUAGUGGAGUUUUAAUGUAUUUAACAAAUGCAAACUAGUAGCUUCCCUUUAAUUAAGAAAAAAUAGAUCUUCUUUCUGAAGGGAAAGGUGUACCGCUAGGUGGAAUUGUAAGGAGGUUGAUAUUUUUAAGCAAGAUUUGGGAUUCAAAUAUGGUGGACGAAGAAAAUAAUACUGAGAGCACUUUACUCUCUAUUUAGUGGUCUGACUUGGCUCGACUCUGAAUUUAGUCGAAACACAAUAUGACUAUUGGAUAUUAGACAAAAAAGAGUAAAAUUGAAAACCCCUCGUAAAUUUCAUGAAUGCUGAGAUGCUAAGUUGUUAUUAUAUAUGGGCAGAAUCAGCAACUUAUGCUAAUUCUCACUUUGCUCCUCCUGUAAUGAAGCAAAUGUCCUCGUUACCUUUGCUUCAGAAACUCAUUUUCCCAGCCGUUGGAAAUGUUUCGAGUCUUCAUUUUUCUUAGAAGUAUCUGUUUCCGAUAUAACCCUUCAAAGACCAUUUCAAUACAUGAUAAAACCUAAACAAUGAAAUGAACAUAUUUUGUGGGGAUACAUACUCGGUACUAACACUUGAAUCCAAGUAUUCUACAAACCCUUACAUUUUGAUUGUUGUUGAUUGCUGUUUGUUAUGCUUCACCACUUAAUAUUGUGCUCUUCUCUUGCUGGUUUCUUUCUAUUUUAUUUGUUCAUCUAAUUGUUUCCAUUUAUGAAUAAAUAGACGCAUGGAUUGGAAAAGUUUACUUACUGUUGCCCUUGGACUUGCUGUUCUGCACAUCUCAGGGAGGGCUAGCAGUCCCUUUUAACUUAACCAAGAGGAGUGAGCCAUAGAAACAUGCAUUGCAUAUGCAUUUGCAUUUGCAUUUGCAUUUGCGUACCAAAAUUAAAUUAGUGCCCAUCACCUAAAAUCCUCAUCGUUUGGCCCAAUUUCCACCCCAAAGCUAAGCUACAAUUGGGGUAAGGUGAAGGGCCAGUUCUUCAUUGUUUAAAAAAAACAUUUCUGACUCUAAAAGCACUUUUGAAAAAAAAGCUGUGCAGAACAAGUUGCUUUUGGCUGAAAUUUCUAGCUUUUCAGAAGUGCUUUUGAAAAGCAAUUCUGUAAAGGAGCUGAAAAGGAGAAGCUAAAAAUUUUAGUUUUUCUUCCUCCAAAAGUACUUUUGGUGCUUAAUUAUUUUUUCACCCCUCUAAUAACAUAGUAUUUUUUUCUCUUGGUGCUUAAUUACAAUUAUGUUAAAAUUAUUAAUUAAAAAUAAAAAAAAUAUUUUUUAAAAUAUUAAUUACAAAUAUUUAAUGGUUAUAUUUAAAUAUUUAAAAUACAGUUUAUAUAUUCUAAUUAAAUUUUAUAAAUAAUUAAUAUUUAUUAAUUAAAAAUAUUUACAAUUUAUAUUUUAUAUAUUAAAAUAUUAACAAGUUAUAAUAAUUUUUUUAUAUUAUUACUAAAAUAUAAUAAUAUUAACUAAUUUAAAUAUGAUUUAAAUACAUAUUUGUUACUUGAUAAUAACAUAUCAAAAAUAGACAUUUUAUUUCUCAAAAGUACUUUUUGACAGCAAUGCUAAACACUCAAAUUUUAAACCAAAUUUUUCAAAAGCACUUUUCAAAAUCACUUUUCUAAAGCACAAAAGUACUUUUCAAAAGAAAUGAAGAAUUGACCCGAAGUGUAAUUCUACAUAUCUAUGGCAUCAUCCAUCAAUGAGUGCAUUGGAAGAACCAAAUUACCACAUGAUUUGUUCUUCAACACAAAGCAAUUAAUCCUUUUACACUAACCAACCUCAUUAGCUGAAAUUUGCUUUCUAUGUUGUGCUGUGCUGUGCCGUGCCGUUGCAGCUACUCAUAUGUUCCCUUGAAAUAUACAUACAUAUAUAAUCAUGAAAAAAUAUAUAUCUAAAACCCUAAUGUUGAUAUCAGUUAUUGUCUUGGGAUUAUUAUAAUACUAUUGUCCCUAAUUUACUAAUAUACAUUUAAUUACAAGCACAAUCUCACACAUAUAUCAUCAAUAUAUAUGAUCUAAAAGCUAGCAAUUAAGGAUUACCAAAUAUAAUCAGAUGAAAGAAAAGAAUAAUAAAAUAAAGUCCAUAUAGUAACCUGUUUUUAUUUCCUUCUUUGAUCUGAAAUAAUAUAUAUGAUCAUCAUUCAUUCAUCAAUGAUGCAAUGGGUUCGGACCAGUUGGUACGAGGCGCUUUUCGACGCCGUAGCGCGGAUCAACCUCAUUAUCGGCCGGCUUGGUUUGUUUCUUGGCUUGAUCUGGUGCUUGAUCUUGAUGCUUCUGAAACGGAGUGAAGUCAAAUUUGGCAGCAGCAACAGCUUUUCUAGUGAUGAAAGGAUUACGAUGAGAAGAAAGCAAGGAAAAGGUUGUGGGGUUGGGUUGUUUACCACUGGUAUUGGUAUUGAAAUUGAAGUUGAGAAUGUUUUGGAAUUCAUGAAGCCAUAACAAGAGAAGAGAGAGCCAAAGAAUGGUGAAGAUGAGCAUGUGGGAUACUUUCCAAGCCAUGCAUGGAGAAUUUUGAGGUAGCAUAAGGGCCUGAAGGGGAAGCAUGCAUGGAGCAAAAAGUACGGAAAACCCCAAGGAAGAGAUUUUAAUUGUACAUGUAUCGGCCAAAAUAUAGUGAAUGGGAAUGGGAAGUGGAAGCUGGAGGAAAUGAAGGUUGAAAAACUGUGGAUUUGGUAUUUGAAUUUUAAUUUAUUGGACAAGAUACAAGGGAGAUUGGAGAGGGAGGGGGAAACACCCUUUCCCAAUGAAUGUUUUCUUAGAAAUCAAGGGAAAAAAAGGGUCAUUAAUUAAUUAUUAGUAAAAGAUUGUCAAACCUUGAAUGAUAUCAAGUUUGAUAAUGGUUAUUAUUACAAGAUCUUUGAGGCAAAGGAGUUAAUAAUGAAUAAAAUGACAUAUUUAUUUAUUAUCAGAGAGUGCAAGAUGGUGUAGUGGUAAAAUAUAUUGUAUUAUUAGCAGAUAAUUCAGGUUUAAAUCUUAGAGAUAAAGUUGUUGAAAUCGAAUUAGAUUGAUUGAAUCACGAAUAUGUACGAAUCAUUUUGAAUCAGGAUAAAAAAAAUUGAUUGAGCCAACGGUUGAAUUGGAUUAUAUAAUUUUUAUGAAUUUUAAUAAUUUAUUUAAUUGAGACCAAACUAAUCAAUCGGAUUAAGAAUUGAUGACUGCUAAUCUAAGUUUAAAAAGAAAGUUUAAAAAGGAUGUUUUUAUAUUAAAUUCCAUUGAGAGUAGAAUGGACAUGAAGGGUAUAUUGAAUUAUUGAUUUGUUUUGAAAUUCAUGAUGGAUGCUGAUGCUGUUUUUGAGUGAAUCGCAACUAAUGAAAAGGGUGGGGAUUGUGCAAUCCACAUUUUCUACGGACAAAGCAAUGUAUUAAACAGUUUCAGCAACGAAUACCAAAAAAAGACAGAAAUACAUGAAUUCUCUUUUGUAAGAACAAUUAAUUGGCUUAUUUAAACAGGUUACUUUUCUUCUUACAUUCAUUUGAUUUUGAGUUUAUUGAAUCCUUAAACUUCAAAUAAUUUUUAUUACAUUCUUAAACUAUCAAUUAGAUUUAAUUUAUAAAUGACACUUCAGAUCUUAUGUGAUAUAAUUUAAAAUGAAAAAUUUAGGAAAAAAUAUGAUAAAAAUAAAUGUUUCAAGGUUUUUGAAACUUUUAUAAAAGCUUUAUUGUUUACCUUCUUUUUUUAGUUUUUACUUUUCAAAUUUAUGCGACAAUGUUAUAUUUCUUUAAAUUUUUCAUAUUAAAAUUACCUGCAUAAGAUUUGAUAUAUCCUUUAACUAAAGAAAGGACCUAAUUAAUGUCACAUUGAUAGUUCAAGAUGUAAUUACAACAUUUUGAAGUUUGAGAAACCAAUUUAAAAUUAAAAUCAUAUUUUAGGGAUGUUUAUGCGAUUAACUCAUAUUUUUUAAAUAAAGAAUAAAAAUAUAUAUCAUAUUUAAUGUAAAUGAUAUUUAAAAUAAAUAAUAAUUUAUGAAUAGAAAAGGUUGGAAUCAUAAUUUUUUGGGCCAAUAGUAUAGUAUUAUAAAAAAAGUAUCUUUGUACAAUGUUUCAAAGAUGAACAUAUUAUAGUACUGUAUGUUAUAAGUCUUUAGUAUUUUGAUUAUUGCAACACUGAUAUAAACUAGCCUUUGGUAUUGCAUGCAUUGCACGUGAAUGUACGCAUUUAUAUUUUUAUUAUUUUUGUACAAUAUUAAAUAUGUAUGUUUGUACAAUGUUUAAAAGAUAGACAUGUUGCACAUCUAUACUUUUCAUCUAUAUAAAAUUGAUGAAAAUAACAUAAGAAAAGUGCUUGGCAAAAGGGGCCAAGGGAUUGGGCACUUCUUCAAGCAUUGCAAUAAGUAGAAUAAAACAGGGGACAUAAAGAUUGUUUACGUAGUUCGGUUUCCGUACAUCUGUGGAGUUUAGCUCAAUGCAAUAUAUUCAAUAUUUUCAUCACUUACACAAAGUGAACCUGUAACAUCCCGAUUUAGGGCUUAGUCGGAACAGUGGUUUCGGGACCACAAAUCCGAUGAGGAAAAAUUAUUUUUACUAUAUUUUUAUGGCCUACAAUUUCAUGGAAAAAAUUCAUGAAAAUUUCGUUAAUAAAUUUUGACGUUUGGGCACUCAAUUUAGUCAAAAGGACUAAAUUGUAAAAAGUGCAAAAUUUGAGUUUUAUAUGUUAAAGGUAUUUAAUUGUUAUGGAACUAUAAAUUAGGGGUCCUUAUAUGGUAAUUAGACAAUUAGUUAGUGAUGGACAAAAAUGGACAUGAGAUAAGUGAAAUAGGAUUUUUUUAAGUAAGGGCAUUUUAGUCAUUUAGUAAAUAAAUAUAAUUAAAAGGGAAAAAGAUGUAAAAAUUGUGUUCAUCAUCCUUUCUUGCUAGGGGUGAGCAUUCGAUCGAAUCGAAUCGAAAAUUUUCGAGUUAAUCGAGUUUUCGAAUCUCAUUUUAUCAUCCUAACUUUAUUUGAAGUUUUCUCGAAUCGAGUCGAGUGAGAUGAAAUUCGAAUCGAAUAUAUUUGUUCGAGUUAAAUUUUAAAAAAUAAUUUUGGGUCAUUGUAACUAUUGUCACCCAUCGUAAUAAAAUUUGACCACCUUAAUCAAAUUUUUUAUUAACUUUCAUCACCUCAUAAUUUAUUUAUUAAUUUUUUAUAUACUGGUUAGCUUCUUUGCUUGCUUAGUUGUUUCAAUUAUCUUCAGAUUCUUGUCAUUAUGUUUUUCGGAAUUAAAAAAUAUAUUAAAUGUAAAAACAUGAUUUUUUUAAUAAAAGUUAUUUUAAAAAUAAAAUGUGAAAUUGAUACCAAUAUAAAAUUUUAACAUGAAUAUUUUAUGGCAUAAUUAAUAAUUCAAUUUUAAUAUAAAUAUUCAAUAUGACUAAACAAUUCAAUAAUAUAAAUAAUAUAAAAUGGGGAAAUUAAAUUUUAAUAAUAUAAAAUAGGUAGAUAUAAAUAAAAUUAUUACUAUUUAUGCUUAGUGAUUUUUUUUGGAUAAUUUUGAUUUUUUCUUUGAGAGUAAAGGGUGAGAAGUAAAAAUUUAGGGGGAAAAUAAAAAUUUUUGGGGAAUAAAAGUUUGAGGGAAAGUAAAUAGGGGGGAGUAAAAUUUUGGAGGGGAAAUAUUAAAAAAAAAUUGGAGUGGGGAGGGUUUGGGGUAGAUGGGAGGUGGGAUGGGAAGAGAAUAAAAGUUUUAGGAGAAAAGUGGGAGGGAGUAAAAAUUUUGGGGGAAAAUAAAAGGUUUUGAGGGUUUUUGGGAGUAAAAUUUUGAAAAAAAGUAAAUGGGAGAGUAAAAUUUUGGUGGGAAAUGAAUUUUGGGUAGAUUGGAGGGUUGGGAGGGGAGGGGAGUAAAAGUUUUGGGGGGAAGUGGGAAGGAGUAAAAGUUUUGAGGGAAAAAUAAAAAGGUUUGAGAAUUUAGAGUAAAAAUGUAAAAUAUUAUAGUUUAAUAUUCGAAUUAUUCGAAUUAUUCGAGUUAUUCGAAUUCGAAAACUCAACUCGAUUUGAAUUCGAAAUUUGAAAAAAAAGGUUCAAGUUGAUUCGAAUAACUCGAUUAACUCGAAUAACUCGAUUCGUUUAACUCGAAAUUCGAAUUUUUUUUCGAUUUUUUCGAGUCGAAUCGAGUUUUGCUCACCCCUAUUUCUUGCUGCCAAAAAUUGAAGGAAGCCAUAGCUAGGGUUUCUCACUUUCUCAAGCUCAUAGUAAGUGAUUCCAAGCCCUGAUUUUAAUGUUCUUUAUGUUUUUGAAGCCCUGGUAACUUGAUUUAGCUUAUUCUAGCAAUAAUUUAACUUAGGGUUCAUAUUUGGAAAAAUAUCCAUAGGUGAAAUAUGUUUAUUUUGAUGUUUUAUGGUAGAAUAUGAAGCUUGGAAUUAUGUUAAAUAACUUUUGCUUAGCGAUUUUAAGUGAAAACGAGUAAAACGACAUAAUCGGCAAAAAUACCUAAUGCUCAUAAGUAAGUGUUAUAGUAAGAAUUUGAUGUUGUCAUAGAAGGGAAAAAUGUUCAGAAUGUUAUAAAAAAAUAAUAAUAAGAGAUGAAGUUUAAUUUCCGAGCUUUGGGGCAAAAGUGUAAAUAUGUAAAAAUUUAGGGGCAAAACUAUAAUUUUGCCAAAAUUGAGUCAAGGACUGUUUUGAUGAAUGUGAGUAUUAAAUAAGCUAAAUUUUCUAUUAUAGAUCAAGAAGAACGAAAUUCGGAGCUAGACCGGGUAAAGAAAAAGAUUGAAGACUAAAGUGUUAGAUUUGAUCACAUUUUUGUACCGAGGUAAGUUUACGAUAAAUAAAUACAAUAUUUCAAUAAUUAUUAUUAAUGCUGCUAUUUUCCAGCAAUUAUGUAUUUAUUUUAUGAAAUUAUUUAAUGUUGAAUCAAGUAUGAGACGAUAAAGAAUUAGUAUUAAAAAGCCCCGUUGAAACAUUAGGAAUGUAUUGGAUACAAAUGUCAUGACAUUUGGGUAAAGAGAUCUCAUGUAAGACCAUGUCUGGGACAUGACAUUGGCAUCAUUGAAGUUAUAAGAGGUCCCAUGUAAGACCAUGUCUGGGACAUGGCAUUGGCACCGAGAUGAGAGGUCCCCCGUAAGACCAUGUCUGGGACAUGGCAUGGGCACCGAUAUGAGAACUCCCAUGUAAGACCAUAUCUGGGAUAUGGCAUUGGCAGUACAAGAAACAUCCCAUGUAAGACCAUGUCUAGGACAUGGCUUUGGCAUGUUAUUAUCAGAAAAGAGACCCAAGUAUCCUUAUUAUUCCAAUGUGACUCAACGGGCUAGUAAACAAAUUAUGUUCCAUAAAAGUUCAGGUAAAAGCAUAAAUAGCAAAUUCAGGUGAGUUAUAAGAGUUAAGAACAUAUUAUGUUAUCAAUUGAGAACCAACAUUUCAGCAAGAGAAGAGUAAGUUAUAAUCAUGAGUUAUCUAAGUAAACAAGUAAGUGAAUGAGUAAGAGAUUAAGUAAAGAGGAAAUUAGAGAUCAUGACACUUGAGUAUAUUUAUUUGUGUUAAAUGUUGUUAUUUAUUUGCUUGUAAACUUACUAAGCUUUAUGCUUACUUCCUUUAUUUCUUUUUCUUUCAUAUAGUAUUAUCAAGCAUAGUCGGGAUCUUGAAGACGUCGGAGAGCGUUCACACUAUCAACCACCACAACUUGGUAUUUUAAGACGAUAAAUGUUUCGAGCUAUGGCAUGUAUAGGGACUUAGUCAUUUCGAUUGUAUAUUCUUAAAUUAUGACCAAAAGAUGAUAUGUAAAUAUUUGAUGAUGAAUAGUUAUUAAAAUGGCUAAGUAUGAAUGUGUUUGUUGUUAUAAAAGUCUAGGUGAUAAAUUAUGCAUAGAAAUCAUGAAAAAGUAAAAAUUGGUAGUGAAUCAGUUUUGAGACAGCAGUAGUGAUGUGAAUUUGAAAAAUCCCCAAGAAUAGUAGAAAAUGAAUUAGAGGGUGGAUAAGAUAUAUAAUUAAAGAUUAUUGAGUCUAUUUUCAUAGAAAAAUAACAGUGUAGACAAAGGAAUUAUGUAUUCUGAGAUAUUUGCAUUUUGGUUAGACAAGGUCAAAGUGGUUUUCGGAAUCCCCUAUUAUGACUUUGGAAAAUCAUUAAAAAUUGUAAAAAAAUAGUUAUGAGUUGAAAUUUUAUAUGUAUAGAUUACUUAUUGAGUUUAGUUUCUGUAGAAACAAGUGAGAACACCAUAUGAAGUCUAUAAAAUGAGAUAAUUAAAUUUUAGUGAUGAGAGGUCAGGACAGUCAAUCAGUGAAACAUGAGAGGCUUUAACUAAUAAACUGUACUAAUUCGAUGAACCAAAAAUUCUGAAAAAUUUAUGGUAAAAAGAUAUAUGAGUCUAGUUUUAGGGAAAAUUUACAGAUCUAAAUUUUUAGUUUCGUAACUCGAGUUAUAAUUAAUUUAGUAACUGCUGCGCAGGUGGACAACUUUGUUGUGAAUAGUGAAAUUAAUUUCAAAAGUAAAAUUUUAUGCCCCGAACUUUUAAGUUAAGUCAAGUAAUGCCUCAUGCUCGACUCCGGCAACGGUCUUGGGUAAGGGGUGUUACAGAACCUAUAUCUAUCACACAACUAUGACAAUUUCCUCACCUUUGUACCUUAGAGAUUGAUACUCUCACCACUAAAUUCACCUUUUUGAAUUUAGCAAGAAAAACCACAACAUGUUUUACUAUCACAAUGCACUCAUAAAAUAAAAUUACUCAUCUGAACAGAUUAAGUGUUAUAUUUAUUUGUACAAUAACAUAUAUAAGUCUCUCAAUUAUAUAUAAUAUUUUGAGACUUGCUAGCACAAAAAAGAUUUAUCACAAUCCGUAUUAAACAACUACUAAAUAAGUUGAAUAUAGUAUAAUAAUAAAAAAUAAUGUAAACAAGGAAAGUUGGCAGCUAGUCCUUAAUGAUGCAAUCCAACUUUCUUAAUCCAAGGGAUUAGAUAAGAAUGAUCCAAUCCAAUUCAAUCAAAUCCUUCAUAUAUGUUUCCUCAAGUGUUAUGUUCUUUAUUGAUGGGCUAAAUACAUUCCACAAUAUCAGCAUAGCCCAAAAAUUCAAUUUAAUAAAUUGCUAAUAACUCAAGUAUGGAAACAGUCUAGACAGUUGCAGUUGGAUAGGGAGUGGGAGCUCCUUUAGGUACUCCUUCAGUCUUUCAUAUUUUUGAACAAUCUCUCAUUUGGAAAAUUGUUAAACAAUACUUAUACAACUCAAGAAGCUAUAUCAAUAAUUAACCUUAGUUCCCCCUUAGCUUAUUCUCCUUAAUUCCAAAAAACUUAACUUAGAUAAUAAUUAAGUGAAUUUAACCAUUAAUGAUAAAUUUGAAUUGUGCAUCAAUAAUCAACCAACCAUAGUUAUAACUAUGUAAGCUAAUGAAUCAAGGAAAAUAAAGCAAAAACAAUAAUAACAAUUCAUUCACCAUAAUCAUCAAAUGCAGUAUAAAAAAAUAGCAAAAUCAAGAGUAGCAACUAAGAUUGCAGUCAUCCCAAAAGAAAUUCUAAAAUAACAGUUCAAAAUCAAGUUCAAUCAAAAGCAUCAAAAGAAUUCUUGCUUAACAACUCACCUCCCCCUCAAUGGUUGCUUCUUAGCUGCACCAUCAUUUAUCCCCCUUUUUGAUUAACAAAUUUAACAAAAUUACUCAUCAAUAGAGAAGGAAAGAAGAUUAGCCCUCAGAGCCUUUUCCUUGUUGAUAAACUUUUUCACAACUUUAGCUUCUACUUGCGGUUUGUCACAAUGUAUGAUGGAAUUCAAUAUAUGAGUUGUGCUCAACAAUUAUCCUUUGUCCCAUGCCUGAGGGGAUAGAUUUGGUGCCUACAGCGAUUGGCAUUUCUUGAGAUGGGGCAUCUUCCUUUAUGCAUUGUCUAAAUCGAAACCUAAAGCUUCUUUUAUUGGUUCAUUCACAAUGUGAUUUCUGUCUAGCCAUUUAUGGGAAAACUUUAAUUCAAGUACAAGCUUCUUAAAUUACUUUGUAGUUUGAACAAUUCGAGGAUUUUGAUAGUAGAGAAUUUGGAAGAUAAGUGAGGGGUAAGGUAGAAAGAAAUUGUGAUAAAUCUUUUCAGCAAACUUUACUAAUUAAUUAAAGGUAAACUGACCAAGAUUAAAUUCAAUCAUCUUUACUACUUUACUACUUUUCUUAGUAACACAACCAUUCUCUUACUGAUAGAGUCCCUUUGGUUGUUGGGGAGCCAAUUUCUAGUGCUUAUAGCAAACAAAGCUAUAUAUACAGUAGAGAGUAAAGAGGCGUGUAGAGUACUUUUUUUAGGGUAGGUUUGAUGAAGAUUCUUUGUCAGGGUUGUUGUUUGGUCAAGAGAUUCAUCAAGAUCCACCAUGUUCAAAGUGAAGAAAUUUAAAACUUUUUUUUUAUUCAGUAGGACCAAAGUUGUACCAUUCACUACGAAUAAAAACUUUGUGAUAAAAGCUGAUGUCCUUAUCAACUAUGUUUUUGUUCAAACUAACAUAAAAUAAAAAUAUGGCAUUCUUAACAUAUGUCGUGACAUAAUUUACAAAGCCCAAAAGACCUACAUUCUGUAGGAGUACAUUAAUGCCAUGAUCAACAAAACCAUUCUCCUCAAUAUUCUACUUGUCGAUAAAAUACUUUAGGAUCAAGACAGUAUAUCUUUUGGAAUAUGCAACAUCCUAGAGUCCUCUCUUCUUAGUCUCCAAAAUUGUUUCUACUUGCUUCUUGGCAACAACAAUUACUUUAGAUAUGAGCUUAAGAACACCAACUUUCUUGAUUUUCUUUGUUUGAUGGGAGAUAGAGAGGGGGACAAUGAGAUGUUUAGUGACCACUGCCAAAUGUGCAAACAUUUGACUGAAAAAUACUACACUAAAAAGAUAAGAAAUAAAGCAGCGGUGUCUGCAAGUAUACGGGUCAAAUUGUAAUAUAAUAAUGUGUUACAACGGAACACAGGGAAAUAUUUCGAGGAUCUUACCCAAGGGAGAAUGAAUUAAAUCUAUUGAAAACCUCUUUACAAUAAUAAGCUUAAAUAGUAAUAAUUAAAUUAUAUAUAAUGAUAAAUCAUAAAAAAGAGUUGAGUAUAAAAAAUUAAAUAACUAAAAUAGAUAAAAAUAAAAUAAACAAACAGCUAAACCGAUUAAACCAAUCAGGAAGAUUAACUCAUUUUAGGGGUUGAAAUUAACUUCAAAAUCGGGUUUUGUUGUGUGUAAAUAACCAAUGCAAUUGUGUAAGUGUACAUGUCAUUCAAGUAAUAAAGUGAUAAGUAAGUAUCGUCUCUACAGGGAUAAAAAAUUGGUAAGAAAUUAGUUAAGUUAUUAUAAUCCUAUUAACUAUACUAAAUAACAGAAAAUACUUUUAAACUAAAUAAGAAGUUAGUAUAAUGAAUUAAUUUAUUUUAAUGUUAAAAACAAAAAAUUGAUAUGGCAAAUAAAAUGUAGUGGCAAAUUACCGAGAAAAGUAAGAGUAAUUCUAUUAUUGAAUGAACAGGGCUGGAAUUAUUCAAGUGAAAUGCUCAUAUCAAAAUAAUGUCAUGAAAAAAUAUUGUCUAAUCAACUGCUCAGAGAAUUACUACUGUAACCUGCCUCUUUCGAUAGCUAGAUUUAAGCUAGAAAUCUAAGUUACUAUAUGUCUACAGAAGUCUGGAUUAAUAACUGUAAUGAAUGAUCUUCUCUGCACAAUUCGUAACAUCUAUGUCUAGAGUGCUACGAGUAUUCUGUCGAAUAUUCACAUGCAUCACACGAUUCUAGAUCCAGUAAAUUGAACCUUUUCAGAAUUAAAAAAAUACAUCUAUGAACACAACAUACAAUUAGCUAUUUCUAGAGCUUGCAUGCAUGUAUUUAAAAUAGACAUAAAUUGAAUCAAACAGUGAUAUAGGCAAUUUCAAAUCAUGAACAUUAAAGAUGAUAAACAUCCAUCCAAAUAAUUCCAACCCAAAAAAGAUUUAGUUCAUGGGUGGAAAAUUAAACACCAAAUUUAAAUCAUUCAUCAACAUUUAAAGAAGUUUGAAUCACAAAAAUCAGGAAAACUAAAGGUAGAACUACAGGAUUUCUCGCCACACUUUAGCUUCUCUUUUAUUUUUCGAUCGUUCGUGAAUCUAGGAUAGAUUUCUUUUCCCUCUUUUCACGUCUGUGUUCUGCUCUUUUUAGCUGCUACCAUUUCUCUCUCUAAAGUUCUCCAAUGGAGUUUUCUUUCUUUGUGCAUAGAGAUGGUUGCUGUCAACAGUCUCUUUCUCACACAAAUUCUCCUCCCUUUUUCUUCUUCCCUCUCAUUUUUUUAUUGGGUAGAUCUAUCCCACCUCAGCACACAUUUUUCAUUCCUCUUUUCAGGUUGGUUUUUUUGGUACACGUCCAGCUGGCUAAGAGUGAUGUGGAUAGAGUGUUGAGUCAUUUUCGCAAAAUUGCCAUGAAAAUUCUAUUGGCAAUCAAUCUUGCCAAUUGCCAUGGUAAUGUUUCACUGCCUCUAUUUUCCUCUUCAUCUUCUUGCUCUUCCUACACAUGUAUUCACACAAAACCUCACCUUUCCUCCCCAAGUGUUGAAAGUAACAAAUAAUGACCAUUGUAGCAAUCUAAGCUUUGUUAUCCAAUGUUCUAAAAAUAUCCUAAAAAUGCAGAUAUAUUCACUUAAUUUCAAAUAAUUAAUUCCAUCUAGAGGUCUUAAAUAUAACUAUUUUCAAGAGUUAUCAGGUUUUAGGGUGGAUUAGCUAUUAACUAACCAAUUAUUACCUUCCAGCCUCUAACUGAUUAAUUAAUUGGUUGAUAAUCGUAUCUCUCGACCUCACUUUCUCAACCAAGAUAAAUUACGAUUUACUCAACAAACUUAUCUCCCGACCUCAUUUAACCUUUGGUUACUUCCUAGGACUGUCAAGCCUAGGUUUUAAGAAUGCGUGAUUUAUACCAAGUAAUCCGAUUGACAAACUUUUAAUCCUUUGUUAAUCACUUCCCCAUCGACUGGUUAAUCCCCCCUAAGGGAAUUAGCUACUCAUGGUAUUCAUAACCUCAAACUCAAUUGAUAUAAACAUGUAAAUAACAUGAAUAAACCAAAAGAAAAAAUAGAUAUAGAAUAAUCCUGAUUUGUACCGAUUAAGAGCAGAAUCGCGAAUCUCUAGAUUGAGAAAUUGAAUCUUGUUGAUUGCAAAAGAAAAUAAACUAAAUAAAUUUGAUUGAACAAAAGAAAUCUUGGAUCGUAAUUGAUUCCAAGAGGAAAGAGUAAAAUUUUUUAAGAAAAAUAAAAGAAAACUUAAUCGAAAUUCUCCUCCAAAAUUAUGAGGGUUUUUGGAUGCGUCUAAGACGACUUAGUUACAUUAAACCACUAAGGUUUUAUUUAUAGAAGUGUUAGUAGCCCGAAUUAGGGGUUUAACAUGUCCUAGGUCUUCGUAUAAGCUUAAUUGUGUGGAUAAAAAAUAGCCUCAAAAUGCUUGGGCUCCACAUCGGUCCUAUGUUGUGCCAUACACAAGUUAUGGUGCAACAUGACAUGCAUGGGUUAUUGGGUUUGAGUUGUACUUUAGUGGCUCGGGAAGCUUGUGCCAUACUCGCCCCUUGAUCAUACGUCCAUUCCAUUGGGCCCUAAAUUUAGCAUCCUGCACACUCAAUUACACAAAUUAAAACUAUCUAAGGCUCGUGUUGGCCUAAUAGGUUACUAACACUCACAAAUGUGUUAAAAACACUUAUUUUACUUAUAUUUAAUACUAACUACCAAAUACAAAAAAAGUAAUAAUAAAUACUAAAAUAGUUAGAAAACAAGCUACUUAAGUGUAGAAAUAUACUAUAAUGACUACUACAUUUGACGGAAGAUAAAAUACCCCCAUACUUAAGUUUUUGCUUGCCCUCAAGCAAACUAAACAAAAUAAAACAAAAAAAAAAAAAUAGCUAGCUUGAUACAAGAAAUUGGACAGAAAUAUAUUAACAAGAUAAUGUAAAUAAACAUAUAAGUCUAGCAUGAUACACAAUUGACUCACAAUUUCCAAAAUUAGACGAGUUAGUUCAUUAAAUUACAGAGCAAACAAAUAAAAUAAUAUUAAAUAUAAGUAUUCAUCAAAACAAAUAUAUAAAUAUACAAUUAUGUUCAAAUGAAUAUAAAUGGUAAAAAUAUCAAAAUUUGGCACAAUGUCAUCCAUAUAAAGUACUACCUAAGUCACAUAAGACUUUUCGACUUGUAACGUUCUGCGACUUAGGUUGGUUUGGAUAUCAAGAAUAGACUCGAACAAAAUAGAUAAUCACGAAAAUAGUUUGACACAUUAUAUUAUCCCCAAUACUCCCCCAAUUUCGAAUAAUCUCACAACCUUAUAUCCACUUCUCUCACAUUCCUUAUUUCUCCAUCACCAAGGCCUAGUAUAGUAUUCAUGAGUAUAAUCAUCCAAGUUUGAUUUUUAUUUUCAAAUAAAUGUGAGCGUACUAUUUUUUCCAACUCAUUUUGCUUUUUUUUUUCUUCGAGAUUUUCUCGAUUGACAUUUUACUCUUUUUUAUACAAGCUCAAAAAUCUUAUACUCACUAUACCAUACAAUCUUAUCCUUCAGUAUCAAUGGUCGAACGUCGUGCAAGGACCAAGAAAAAAAGGAUCAAGUAAAUUAUUUAUUAGGCUCAUGUUUUUAUUAUUGGUUCAUCAAGAAAAUGGAUUAUGACUUCAAACUAGGUAUUAGGGAAAAUAUUUGCAGGAUAGCUUUUUGGCUCAGAAAUGUCUGCCAAACAAUACCUUAGAUCGUCCCUAGGUAAUCUCAUACAUGGAUUAAAUCAACAAGUCUAUAAAUUUCUACAACCUAUAAUUCAAGUAGACAUGCAUGCUAUUUAUAUAUCCAUUAUCAUUUGGUAUAACUAACAUUUUAAAUUUAUUCACAGUGCAAUAAAUUGAACUAAUUAGUCUAAAAUUAGAUAGUUUAAAAUCAAUUAUUAUCAAACAAAAUUUACAAUUUAUUCAAAAAAUCCUAUUAACAUGCUCCUAACCAAUCACUUGUAUUUCUACAAGCUUAAAUGACCGCCUCUCGAUGUACCAAUGUCGGAAGUGAGAAUAUUACAACUAAAUAUAUAAAUUAAGGAGGUGUCCACAAGUAUACGGUUCAAGUUGUAAUAUAGUUUGUUUACAACGAAACAGUUGGUGAGUAUUUCGAGGAUCGUAUCCUAGGGAUUGCAGUUUGGGAAAAACUGCUAUUAAGCCAAUUACCAAAAAUAACUACUAGUAUACUCGAGUCACAAAUUAGUAGUAAUAAUCUAGAAGCAAGAUGAUAAUAAUAGUAAUAAUAAGCUAAAUGAAUUGAACUAAACCUAAAUCUACUCCUAAGUUCAUGUAUCGACUUUUCCUAACCCUUUUUUUGACUAUGCGAGUUCCUUUAGCCUAGAUCCAAUUAUUUUACCUGAUUAAUUAUUGAUUUAGGGUUCUAAAUAGUUGAUUACUAAUUAACCUAGUAGGGCUUCUCAGCCUUCAACUAACCUAACUAGUCGACAGGGUCUACUGACCUCUUGAUGACACAGUUCAGAUUGGGGCCGGGUAAGGUUUUCACGAAUAGGAACUACUGAUUUUGGGUUAAUUCCCACCUAUAUGACUUCCUAAGGUUGUCAAGCCUAGGUUUUAAGUUUUUCCAUCCCUAACCACUGAUCUGCUGAGUGAUGCUUGGUAGGCAAUAUUGAUUUCAGAUUCAUUCCUACCUAAAUAACUUCCUAGGGUCGUCAAUCCUAGGUUUUAAUUGCAAUCAACCAGAUCUAACUAAUCCAAAUUGAACUUUAUGUAUCAAUCAAUUAAUUAGAUUAUUACAAUUGAAACAUGCAAAAUAUGUAUAAAGUAUAAAUUGAUUCUAAUCUUUACACAAACAUUCAAUUAACAAUGUUAAAGGAAGAAAUAUAAAUGAUAGAAUAAAGGAAAGAGAUGCUAAUGGAUUUAUUGAUGAAAGCAUAGCUUCAGAACAAUCUCCGCUCGCGAAAGUCUCACUUUGAAAUAUGAUCUUAUGCUUACAAGAACAUAAUGUAAACUAGGUAAAACUAAGAAUGAGAAUAAAAACCUAAGAAUCCUCCUCCCUUAAUGUGUUGUUCUGAGCAAGUAUUUAUAGAUUACAUGUAUUAUGACCUAAUUAGGUCAAGUAAGGACGAUUAAGCAUGUUAAUUUAGGAGUUGUAGAUGAAAACACCAUUGCUCAUUGAAUUAGCCUCGUCGUAGGUGUGUCGCGACAUCGAAGGCAUUGCUUUAUUCUUGGUGUCUUCAAGGUUGUGUCAGGACAUCUUCAGGAGACUGCUCCUUGGGUAUUCUGCUUGCUGUGUUACGACAUCCCAUCUCCAUGUUGCAACAUCGGGAGUAAUCCAUUGUCCUUUUGCUCUCGAGUGAUAUCCUAUACACUUAAUCAACAUAUUAGUAUUCCCUUAGGCCCAAGUCGGCUUAGAAGGUCAUAGGACACAUAAAAUGCUCCUUUUAUUCACUAGGUCCUAAGAAGGGGAACUUAAUAAAAAAACUAUAUUAAUUUGUUAUAAGACCAGCUCGUUAAGUAUAGAAUUGGGCCUAAUCUGCUACAACAAAUUAUGGCAGAUCAAACUCCCCUACACUUAAGUCAUUGCUUGUCCUCGAGCAAUGUAAACAUAUAUUAAAAGUAAACAAAAAAAAAGAUAAAAUAGGAAAAUAAACAUGAAGACAAAAAGAAAAAAAAUUGAGCUGCAAAUAAAAAUAAAAAAAUAAACAAAAAAUAAACAAAAAGGAAAAAUAAAAAAUUUGACUUGGUUUCUUUCUUUAAAAAAGCUAGAGUUAGUGAAGAUGGAAACCUCACACCUAAACUCCCUUACACUUAACUUUUUGCUUGUCCUCAAGAAAAUUAAUUCUAAACACAUAGCAUGCAAUAAGAAGACAUCCCUUGGAUUUUAUUACUACUGAGGACAUGAUUGUCAAAUAUUAAAGGUAUAAAGAUUCUUAUUGCACAUGCAACUUAUUCUUGAUAGUUCAAUGCCUUGAAAACUUGUUAAAGUAAAUUAGGAUUAGUUUACAAAGUUACAUUACUAACAACUUAGAAUUAAUUCUCAUGACCAAAUGUUUAACAAUAUCACCAUUAAAAUAAAUCAAACAGAUAUGUAGCAGACACAAUCAUGUGAAUAAAAAAUAUUCAUUAAGUAUAAUUGUUAGCAAUUUCGAAAGGUUAUGCACAGAGAACGCUUAAGUCAUAUUGGUCUUCUAGGCUUGUAACAUUCUGAGGCUUAGGACGGUACGAGUUGAAAGAAGGAUAUGACUCAAAAUGGUUCAAACACUAGAAAUAGUUAGGCACAUGACAUUGUUCCCUCUCUUUCCCCUAAGUGUCCCUUCCAGGCUCACUGCCUUUUAUCUCCUACUCUCACCUUCC